AGUGAACGCUGGCGGUAGGCCUAACACAUGCAAGUCGAACGGCAGCACAGGAGAGCUUGCUCUCUGGGUGGCGAGUGGCGGACGGGUGAGGAAUACAUCGGAAUCUACUCUGUCGUGAGGGAUAACGUAGGGAAACUUACGCUAAUACCGCAUACGACCUACGGGUGAAAGCAGGGGAUCUUCGGACCUUGCGCGAUUGAAUGAGCCGAUGUCGGAUUAGCUAGUUGGCGGGGUAAAGGCCCACCAAGGCGACGAUCCGUAGCUGGUCGGAGGGGAUGAUCAGCCACACUGGAACUGAGACACGGUCCAGACUCCUACGGGAGGCAGCAGUGGGGAAUAUUGGACAAUGGGCGCAAGCCUGAUCCAGCCAUACCGCGUGGGUGAAGAAGGCCUUCGGGUUGUAAAGCCCUUUUGUUGGGAAAGAAAUCCAGCUGGCUAAUACCCGGUUGGGAUGACGGUACCCAAAGAAUAAGCACCGGCUAACUUCGUGCCAGCAGCCGCAGUAA
rnacentral:rRNA from 1 species